AUGCAAGCUCGAACGGGGGUUAAGUCUUCGGACUUAACUCUAGUGGCGGACGGGUGAGUAACGCGUGGGCAACCUGCCUCGGACAGGGGAAUAACCACUGAGAAAUCACUGGCUAAGACCUCAUAAGCUCCCGGUGUCGCAUGACACAGAGAGAAAAGAUUUAUCGGUUCGAGAGGGGCCCGCGGCUGAUUAGCUAGUUGGAGAGGUAACGGCUCACCAAGGCGACGAUCAGUAGCCGACCUGAGAGGGUGAUCGGCCACAUUGGGACUGAGACACGGCCCAAACUCCUACGGGAGGCAGCAGUGGGGAAUAUUGCGCAAUGGAGGAAACUCUGACGCAGCAACGCCGCGUGAAGGAAGAAGGUUUUCGGAUCGUAAACUUCAAUCCACAGGGAAGAAACAAAUGACGGUACCUGGGGGGAAGCCCCGGCUAACUACGUGCCAGCAGCCGCGGUAAUACGUAGGGGGCAAGCGUUAUCCGGAAUUACUGGGUGUAAAGGGUGAGUAGGCGGUAUCGUAAGUCAUAUGUGAAAGCCCGGUGCUUAACACCGGGACUGCAUAAGAAACUGCGGAACUAGAGUACAGGAGAGGUAAGCGGAAUUCCUAGUGUAGCGGUGAAAUGCGUAGAUAUUAGGAAGAACACCAGUGGCGAAGGCGGCUUACUGGACUGAAACUGACGCUGAGUCACGAAAGCGUGGGGAGCGAACAGGAUUAGAUACCCUGGUAGUCCACGCUGUAAACGAUGAGUGCUAGGUGUCGGGUA
rnacentral:rRNA from 2 species